rnacentral:misc_RNA from 1 species
GAUGAAGAACGUAGCGAAAUGCGAUAAGUAAUGUGAAUUGCAGAAUUCAGUGAACCAUCGAAUCUUUGAACGCACAUUGCGCCCGGCAGUAAUCUGCCGGGCAUGCCUGUCCGAGCGUCAUUUCUGCCCUCGAGCGAGUCCAGCAUCUAGGUGCUGGGCCCGCCCGGCGUUGGGGCACUACGGGAAGCCCUGUGCUGUCCCCCGUAGGCCCCGAAAUGAAGUGGCGGUGCUGCCGCGGCGCCCCCUGCGUAGUAUAACAGCUCGCUUCGGGACCCGGUGGAGGCCUGCCGUCAAACCUUACUCUCUAAGUUUGACCUCGGAUCAGGUAGGGUUACCCGCUGAACUUAAGCAUAUCAAUAAGCGGAGGA